rnacentral:rRNA from 1 species
CAGCCGCCGCGGUAAUACCGGCGGCCCGAGUGGCGGUCACUCUUAUUGGGCUUAAAGCGUCCGUAGCCGGGUUGGGAAGUCCUCCGGGAAAUCUGGCCGCUUAACGGUCAGAAUGCCGGAGGAUACUCCCAGCCUAGGGAGCGGGAGAGGCCGAGGGUAUUCCCGGAGUAGGGGGGAAAUCCUAUAAUCCCGGGAGGACCACCUGUGGCGAAGGCGCUCGGCUGGAACGCGUCCGACGGUGAGGGACGAAGGCCAGGGGAGCAAACCGGAUUAGAUACCCGGGUAGUCCUGGCUGUAAACGAUGCGGACUUUGUGUCGGACAAGCUAUGAGCUUGUCCGGUGCCGGAGGGAAACCGUUAAGUCCGCCGCCUGGGGAGUACGGCCGCAAGGCUGAAACUUAAAGGAAUUGGCGGG